GCCAAAAACUUAGCCCCUCCCACCUCAAUAUUAACCCCAUUAUUUCAUCAAUGAACUAAAACAUUUUAAUAAUCUAGUAAAGGUGAUUGAAAAACUACUAGGCGCCAUAAUUAUAGUACCGCAAGGGAAAAGUGAAAUAAAAAUGAAAUAAAUCUUAAGCACUAAAAAGUAAAGAUUAUAUCUUGUACCUUUUGCAUCAUGGUUUAACCAGUUAAAUCAAGCAAAAUGAAUUUCAGUUUGAAGCCCCGAAACUAAGCGAGCUACUCUAGGGCAGCUUUCUGAGCCAACCCGUCUCUGUUGCAAAAGAGUGGGAUGAACCUAAAGUAGCGGUGACAGACCUAACGAGCUUAGUGAUAGCUGGUUACUUAAGAAAAGGAUUUUAGUCCCGCCUAAUAUUAACUUAAUUAAUUAAAAUAAAGCUUUAAUUUUAGAGCAAUUCAAAUAAGGUACAGCCUAUUUGAAUAAGGAGACAACCUAAACUAAUGGGUAAUUUUUUACUUCACAACAAAGUGGGCCUAAAAGCAGCCACCUUUAAAAUAGCGUCAUAGCUUAAUUGUAAAAUACUUAUUUAAUUCCUUAAUCACACCAGAUCCCUUUAUUACUAUUAAGUAAUUCUAUAUUAUUAUAGAAGUUAUACUGUUAAAACUAGUAACAAGAAGUAGUUCUUCUCUCAAAUGUAAGUGUAAAUCAGAAAGGACAAACCACUGAUAAUUAGUGCCCCUAAACUUAUAGUAAUAACACCUCAAGAAAAUUUUACUAUCCAUUGCAUUAACCUAACACAAGAACAUUUCGAGAAAGAUUAAAAAAAGAGGAAGGAACUCGGCAAAUAAUAACCUCGCCUGUUUACCAAAAACAUCGCCUCUUGAAAAUUUAUAAGAGGUCCAGCCUGCCCAGUGACUUUGUUUAACGGCCGCGGUAUCCUAACCGUGCGAAGGUAGCGUAAUCACUUGUUCUUUAAAUAAGGACUAGUAUGAAUGGCAUCACGAGGGUUAUACUGUCUCCCCCUUUUAAUCAGUGAAACUAAUCUCCCCGUGAAGAAACGAGGAUAUUUAUAUAAGACGAGAAGACCCUAUGGAGCUUUAAACUAACUUUCAAUAAUUAUAUUUUACACGUAAGCCCCUGCUAUCAAUAAAUAACCUAGUUUUAUGAAAAUUAGUUUUAGGUUGGGGUGACCACGGAGCAAAAAACAACCUCCGAGCUGUAUGGAAUUAAUUCCUGAGCAGUAAACCACGACUUUAUGCACCAAUAUAUUGACAUCCAUUGACCCAAUAAUUUGAUCAACGAACCAAGUUACCCUAGGGAUAACAGCGCAAUCCGUUUCAAGAGCCCAUAUCGACAAACGGGUUUACGACCUCGAUGUUGGAUCAGGGUAUCCCAGUGGUGCAGCCGCUACUAAAGGUUCGUUUGUUCAACGAUUAAAACCCU
rnacentral:rRNA from 1 species